rnacentral:rRNA from 1 species
UAGUCCACGCUGUAAACGAUGAUCACUCGAUAUUGGCGAUAUAAUGUCAGUGUCCAAGCGAAAGUAAUAAGUGAUCCACCUGGGGAGUACGUUCGCAAGAAUGAAACUCAAAGGAAUUGACGGGGGCCCGCACAAGCGGUGGAGCAUGUGGUUUAAUUCGAUGAUACGCGAGGAACCUUACCAGGGCUUAAAUGUAAGUUGCAUUAGUUAGAGAUAGCUAUUUCUUCGGACCACUUACAAGGUGCUGCAUGGUUGUCGUCAGCUCGUGCCGUGAGGUGUCAGGUUAAGUCCUAUAACGAGCGCAACCCCUGUUGUUAGUUGCCAGCGAGUCAUGUCGGGAACUCUAACAAGACUGCCAGUGCAAACUGUGAGGAAGGUGGGGAUGACGUCAAAUCAUCACGGCCCUUACGUCCUGGGCUACACACGUGCUACAAUGGUAGGGACAGAGAGCAGCCACUUCGCGAGAAGGAGCGAAUCUAUAAACCCUAUCACAGUUAC